rnacentral:rRNA from 1 species
AGUGAACGCUGGCGGGAGGCCUAACACAUGCAAGUCGAACGAGUGGCGGACGGGUGAGUAAUAUCUCGGAAUCUGCCCUGUCGUGGGGGAUAACGUCUGGAAACUGACGCUAAUACCGCAUACGAUUGAAUGAGCCGAUGUCGGAUUAGCUAGUUGGUGGGGUAAAGGCCCACCAAGGCGACGAUCCGUAGCCGGUCUGAGAGGAAGAGCGGCCACACUGGAACUGGGACACGGCCCAGACUCCUACGGGAGGCAGCAGUGGGGAAUAUUGGACAAUGGGCGAAAGCCUUAUCCAGCCAUACCGCGUGGGUGAUGAAGGCCUUCGGGUUGUAAAGUCCUUUUGUUAGGAAAGCGGUAUCCAAAGAAUAAGCACCGGCUAACUUCGUGCCAGCAGCCGCGGUAAUAC